rnacentral:lncRNA from 1 species
UCUUUCUUUUUUUUUCCUAACUUGCAUGAUUCUGCUGAUACAUACUUGCACAGGGUAAUGUAACUUUUCUCUACUGCUGCUUAUGGGUUGGAUUUUGUGAUAUGAACUACAACUGCUAGUGUCAUCUUGAAGAUCCGAGUGUGCAAACCCUUGAAAAGAAACAGAUCCAAGUGGGCUUCUCUACAUGUGUUUGAGCUGGAAAAUCGUAGUGUGCUUUUCGGAUAGAGCACUUGACAUUUCGAUUGGAUUACCAUACACUUCUAUGUAAGAGAUGCUCUGUCUGUAUCAGCACUUAAGUCCACUGUAUCUAGAAUGUUGAAUGUUUUACUGUUUACUUUUAUGUAAGGGUGAAUUAGGCCCUUACAUUACCCUAACUUAUUUACUUCACAAACUUGGGAUUUCUUGCCACUUUAAUUUGUCUUACUGUUUUACUAGAAAAUGUGUGCAAGUAAAACCAAAAAUUUAACUCAAGUCCUCGCUAAUUUUAGCUCCGUCGAUUCUAAAUCAGACGUCACCCUCUCCUGCGGGCCUCGUGGCGUCUCCGGGCUAGCUUUUCACCAAAACUUGUGCUCUCAAGUCACUUUACUCUAUACCUUUGUGUUGUAUUAGCACAUGGGGACAUGAAAAACCAAAAAGCUACCCAAGUCCUCAAAGGAUUCUGCUCCGUCCGUCCGAAUUGCGACUUUUCCCCCCUAAGUCCGGAACGUUCGUGCGGGUUAGUCUAGUUUGUGAAGGAAGUGCAACCUCAGAUCCUUGGAUUGUGUUUUCCUCUUAACACCAUCUCUAUGUACAUAUUUUAUGGCAUCAUCCAAGAUUUCAAGUUCUCUAGACCAUCCGUCGUGUGAUUUGAGGCAUUGCCCCCUCCUGCGGGUCUCAUGGCGUCUACGGGGCAGCUUUUCACAAAAACAUUGGUUUUCCUGAUGUUUUUCCAUUACUUAGUGUUCUAUUGCCACAUGGGCACAUGUAAAACAAAAAAUAUACCCUAAGCCCUAACAGAAUUCUUCUUCCUCGGUCCGAAAUGCGUGUUUUUCUCACUCUAGGGAUUGGGUUUGAAUGUUCCUUAGUGUUUUGUUACUAGCUUUUCACCAAAACUUGGGUUUCCAUGUCACUUUAAUAUAUCAUAGUGUUGUAUUAGGACAUGUCAACAUGAAAAAGCAAACAUCUACCCAAGUCGUCAACGGAUUCGGCUCCGUCCGUCCGAAUUGCUACUUUUCCCCCUCUAAUUCAAGAACGUUCGUGCAAGUUCGUCUAGUUUGUGAAGGAUGUGCAACAUGAGAUACUUGGAUUGUGUUUUCCUCUGAACACCAUCUUUAUGUACACAUUUGAUGACAUCAUCCAAGAUUUCAAGUUCUCUAAACGAUCCGUCGUGUGAUUUGAGGCAUCGCCCCCUCCUGCGGGCCUCGUGGCGUCUACGGGGUAGUUUUUCACCAAAACUUGUGUUCUCAAGUCAUUUUACUGUACAUUUGUGUUGUACUAGCACAUGGGGACAUGAAAAAUCAAAAAGCUACCCAAGUCAUCAAAGGAUUCUGCUCCGUCCGUCCGAAUUGCAACUUUUCCCCCCUAAGUCCGAAACGUUCCUGCGGGUAAGUCUAGUUUGUGAAGGAAGUGCAACCUCAGAUCAUUGGAUUGUGUUUUCCUCUUAACACCAUAUCUAUGUACAUAUUUUAUGACAUCA